CGAUGUUUUCUUAGUUUAUUUUU
rnacentral:snRNA from 1 species